CAUCGAAUUAAACCACAUGUACCUCCGCUUGUGCGGGCCCCCGUCAAUUCCUUUGAGUUUCACCGUUGCCGGCGUACUCCCCAGGUGGAAUGCUUAACGCUUUCGCUUGGCCACGGACAAUAUAUCGCCCAUAGCGAGCAUUCAUCGUUUACCGUGCGGACUACCAGGGUAUCUAAUCCUGUUUGAUACCCGCACUUUCGAGCCUCAGCGUCA
rnacentral:rRNA from 1 species